rnacentral:rRNA from 1 species
UCUNUGGGCUGUAACUGACGCUGAGAAGCGAAAGCAUGGGGAGCGAACAGGAUUAGAUACCCUGGUAGUCCAUGCUGUAAACGUUGGGCACUAGGUGUGGGGGACAUUCCACGUUUUCCGCGCCGUAGCUAACGCAUUAAGUGCCCCGCCUGGGGAGUACGGCCGCAAGGCUAAAACUCAAAGAAAUUGACGGGGGCCCGCGCAAGCGGCGGAGCAUGCGGAUUAAUUCGAUGCAACGCGAAGAACCUUACCAAGGCUUGACAUAUACUGGACUGCGUCAGAGAUGGCGUUUCCCUUCGGGGCUGGUAUACAGGUGGUGCAUGGUUGUCGUCAGCUCGUGUCGUGAGAUGUUGGGUUAAGUCCCGCAACGAGCGCAACCCUCGUUCUAUGUUGCCAGCACGUGAUGGUGGGGACUCAUAGGAGACUGCCGGGGUUAACUCGGAGGAAGGUGGGGAUGACAUCAAAUCAUCAUGCCCCUUAUGUCUUGGGCUUCACGCAUGCUACAAUGGCCGGUACAGAGGGUUGCGAUACUGUGAGGUGGAGCUAAUCCCUAAUAGCCGGUCUCAGUUCGGAUUGGGGUCUGCAACUCGACCCCAUGAAGUCGGAGUCGCUAGUAAUCGCAGAUCAGCAACGCUGCGGUGAAUACGUUCCCGGGCCUUGUACACACCGCCCGUCAAGUCACGAAAGUUGGUAACACCCGAAGCCG